GGCACAGCGGGCAGGACACUGACCCUUCUUGGAGGCCAGGAAGAGGCCUUGUGAGCAGCAGGAGGUAAGGGGGCUCCUCCAUGCUCGCUCCCCGUUUGGGGAGAGAAAGCGUCGGUGGGCAGGAGUGCCCUACCCUGCUCCCCAGGGCCCCCAGGCAAAGCCCCUGCCCUGUGGAUGCUGACAUUCUGCUGCCUAAGAGGGGCGGCCUCCAUCCUGUUCUGGGUACAUCAACUUCAGGAAGCCCCACACUGGAAGACUGCCAGGGAGCAAGGACGAGGCCUGGGAAGGGAAAAAUAAGGUGAACACACUGACAAGAAGAAGCCCAAAGGAGGGUCAAGACAAGCCUAAAAAGUAGGUGACCAGGUGUCCCCAGCAAGAUGUGGCCAAUGCAGUCCACCAAGGGGAUCUCCUCUCUGGAGGAGCCUCAAGGUCACGAACUCCGUGGAUCUCGGGUUGUUAUUCAUCCCCAGACUCUGUUAGGCACCAGGCCCCAGGGUCCUGACUCCACGCCCACCCUACCACCCCUCCACCCCAUGUGGCAGCCAGCUCUCUAUGCUGAAUGAAGACACCCAUUCAGGUCCACUUGAACUAAGGUCCACUCUGAACUAAGAUAUCCACUCAGGUAUGGAGGGAAGUCAUGGCCUCACCCUCAAGCACAUCAACUCUCUGGGCUCUUUCCCUGCUGUCUGCUCAGAGGCCACCUUCAAAAGCAAGACCAUGGCCAAGCAUGGUGGUGUGCACCCGUAGUCCAGCACUCAUGAGGCCAAGGGAAGAAGGGAACAAGUUUGAGCCCAGCCUUAGCGAUUUAGGGAGACCCUGUCUCAAACACACACACACAAGAUUGUUGCCUUUGUGCCUGCCCUGGAUUUCCUUCAUCUAUGCAGUGGAUGCAGAAGACUCCAGAGCCUGCUCAUGGGCCCCAGCAGUCUCUGGCAGGAGGUGUCCCCACCCUACUGAGGGCCUCUGAGGGAUAUCUCUGCCCUGCUGCCCUACAUGUUGUCCUGGCUGAGUGUGCUUCUGCAGCCUUCUCCUGCCCUCCUUAGAGGUCCCUUCCUUUCAGUACACAACAAGGUCCAGAUCACCACUUCCUACCCUGCCACAGAGCAGGCACAGCUCUCCUGGAUCCUCAGGGCUAUGUGUGUCCCAGGGGCCAUGGAGGGCACCCCAAACACAGAGCACCAGGCAGAGCGUCCUGUGGCCAGCUGAAUAAUGCCCCCUCCAGAGAUGUCAAAGUCUGAAUGGAAAUGUGAAUAUAUCAUCUUCUGUGACAGAAGAAUGGAGCAGAUGUGACUCGGUUAGAGAUUGAGAUGGAGAUUAUUCUUGAUCACCUGGAUGGGCAGGAUCUAGUCGCCAGGGCCUUCACAAGACAGAGAAUGAGGAUGAAGGUUGAAAGAAGGUGUGACAAAGGAAACAGAGGCAAAAGAAAGAGGAGAGAAGAUGCUGCAUGGUUUGCCUGCAAGAUGGAGGAAGUGGGACCAUCCCUGAAAGACAGGUGGCCUCUAGGAACUAGAAAGGCAAGGUACAGCCCCUCUCCCGGGUCUGCAGAGGAAAGCAGGCUCCAACAUGGUCUCUCGGCCCCUUGAGACUGCUUUUGGUCUUUGUCCCCCCAGAACCAGAUGAUAGUAAAC
ensembl:lncRNA